rnacentral:lncRNA from 1 species
AUGAGGAGAGAGGAGGAAGCAGAUGGGAGAUGUCUGCCCGCCAGGCUGCGGCUCUCCGGGCCCCGUGACCUAGUUACCAGGCAGGGAGGUGAAGCACGGAGCCGAGCUGGGCAGGUCCAGAGAAGCAGAAAUAAAAGGGACACGGACAGGGAGCUCCAGGAAAGCUUAACGGGAGCUUUGCCGUGGGGCGGUGGCAUCUGUAGGUCCCCAAAGCAGCCAAGCCCAGCACCUCGAGGGAUGCUGAGCAGAACCAGGGGGCGGCACAGGCAGGGGGGGCUCGGAGUGAGGCUCUCCGUGCGGGGAACUCCUCGCCGCAGGACGCGUGGGCUCAGAAGCCGUCAGACACCGUGGCACAUCCCCACCGGUGACACAGAGCCAGAAAAGAGCCCCAGCACAGCUCCAGGAGCCAGCAGAAACUGGAGGCUGAGCAGAAACCCCGGCUCGACGAGGGAGCUGAGGUGCCCCCACUGCUGCCCACUGCGUCGCGGGGAAGGCAGCGCAAGAAGCGAUGGCUGCGGGAGGAAAGCAGGCAAGCCCAAAUUAGAAUUAAUAAGGCACAAAUUGUCAGCGGUGAAAGGGAUUAGUGCCGGGAAGAGGCUGCUCAGGGCAUGGAGAGAGACAGCCCGGGUUUCUGUGCAGCUCCGAGCAGCAAGAAGGGAUCCACAGGACAAAGCCCGCAGCAUCCGUGGCCGCGCAGGGGCACAGCCGGGAGGUGUGGAGGCAGGAUUUGCACCAACCCCGCGUGUUCAGCACUGCAAGCGGCCGGAUCCUGACCUGUCGGGGGAGCAGCACAUCCACAGCAGCUCUGCAAGGCAGCACCAGCGCCUGGGGACCUGUCCCCAGCGGGCAGCAGCAGCCGUGAGCCCCUGCGGCCAUCUGGGCACCCGGCACUGCACGGGGCUCCAGCUCCCUCCUGCCUUGGGGCUCCUCUGCAGCAUUGCCCACCCGAGCGGGCACAACCUGAGAGACCCCCCCAUGCCCUCCCCAAAACCCCAGGGGCUGCUUUUGGGGAGCAGGAGGGGUCCCUGCAGCCUCAGCCUGUCCAGCAGCCCCGCAGCCGCCCCGCUCCACUCGGCUGCGUGA